UUGUGCUUCAAACAGGAAAACCAGCAGAAAUAAAUCACAGCCUGCCAGAGGUUUGGAGUUUCCGAGGUGCAACUGAACGCAGCACAGUGUUCCAAUGCUCCUGAUUGUCCUCAAACGUCUCUUUGGGUGUUUCCUUCCUGCUCAAAGUUUACUUUCACUUCCUGAACUUCGUGGAGUGGAGCUUGUUGUUGGUGUGUGAAGAAACUCUCCUUAGAUCACAUGACCUGGAUGACUGAACCUACAGACAUAUUGACCUGGUUUCAUGGUCACAUGACAGACUGACUGAAGAUGAUGAUGGAGGAAGAGGAGGACAGAGCAGAGUCUGCAGGGUCCAGCUGUCCGUCUGUAUGGAGUGACGAGUCCAAAGGCGACGUUCCAGACUUCAGUGGUGAACCUGGAGC